GAUAAACGCUGGCGGCGCACAUAAGACAUGCAAGUCGAACGGACCAAAACCUUAGUUUACUUUGGUAGAGGUUAGUGGCGGACUGGUGAGUAACACGUAAGCAACCUGCCUAUCAGAGGGGAACAACAGUUAGAAAUGACUGCUAAUACCGCAUAUGCCAUAAUCACCACAUGGUGAUAGUGGGAAAGGAGCAAUCCGCUGAUAGAUGGGCUUGCGUCUGAUUAGAUAGUUGGUGGGGUAACGGCCUACCAAGUCGACGAUCAGUAGCCGGACUGAGAGGUUGAACGGCCACAUUGGGACUGAGACACGGCCCAGACUCCUACGGGAGGCAGCAGUGAGGGAUAUUCGGCAAUGGGGGAAACCCUGACCGAGCAACGCCGCGUGAGGGAUGACGGUUUUCGGAUUGUAAACCUCUGUCCUCUGUGAAGAUAAUGACGGUACCUCAUGAAUAAGCCACGGCUAACUACGUG
rnacentral:rRNA from 1 species